rnacentral:rRNA from 1 species
AACGAACGCUGGCGGCAUGCCUAACACAUGCAAGUCGAACGAGACCUUCGGGUCUAGUGGCGCACGGGUGCGUAACGCGUGGGAACCUGCCCUUAGGUUCGGAAUAACUCCCCGAAAGGGGUGCUAAUACCGGAUAAUGUCAUCGGACCAAAGAUUUAUCGCCUUUGGAUGGGCCCGCGUUGGAUUAGCUAGUUGGUAGGGGAAAAGCCUACCAAGGCGACGAUCCAUAGCUGGUCUGAGAGGAUGAUACGCCACACUGGGACUGAGACACGGCCCAGACUCCUACGGAAGGCAGCAGUGGGGAAUAUUGGACAAUGGGCGAAAGCCUGAUCCAGCAAUGCCGCGUGAGUGAUGCAGGCCUUAGGGUUGUAAAGCUCUUUUACCCGGGAUGAUAAUGACAGUACCGGGAGAAUAAGCUCCGGCUAACUCCGUG